UUGGAGAGCAAUUGCUUUUCAAACCUCACAGUUUGGGGCAGGCACAGACCAAGAGAAGUUAAUGAGAGGCCUGCUCAGCCCUUAUCACCCCUUUUUCUUUUCCUUUCUCUUCCUCCAUCCUCACUCCCCCCUCGCCUUUGCCAGAAAAACCCUGCUCUCAUUUCCUCAGACAUGGACGCAGCAGAAAUAACACUGAUAGGAAGCACGUUUUCCCCCGCCGGAUUACUUGCACCCCGGAGCCCCAAUCCAGAAUGAAUUCUCCAGCCAGUAUCUCUCAUCCAACCUCAGCAGCAGAAAAAGCCCCAGAGGGAGACGUGAAACACAGGUUCUUCUGAGGCCAAGCAGCCUGUGAGUUCUGGAUCCCCAUUGCCAAAACAUCUUCUCAGGAGGAAUCAAAUGGAAAUCCAUGCUGUGUCCUUGCUCCCAUGACUGUCAGAAUUCAGGUUGCCCUGGAGAC